UAAUACGGGGGGAGCAAGCGUUGUUCGGAUUUACUGGGCGUAAAGGGCGCGUAGGCGGCGCAACAAGUCAGCUGUGAAAUCUCCGGGCUUAACCCGGAGCGGCCAGCUGAUACUGUCGCGCUAGAGUGCGGAAGGGGCUACUGGAAUUCUCGGUGUAGCGGUGAAAUGCGUAGAUAUCGAGAGAAACACCUGUGGCGAAGGCGGGUAGCUGGGCCGACACUGACGCUGAGGCGCGAAAGCUAGGGGAGCGAACGGGA
rnacentral:rRNA from 1 species